rnacentral:rRNA from 1 species
AGAGUUUGAUCAUGGCUCAGAUUGAACGCUGGCGGCAUGCCUUACACAUGCAAGUCGAACGGUAACGCGGGGCAACCUGGCGACGAGUGGCGAACGGGUGAGUAAUGUAUCGGAACGUGCCCAGUAGUGGGGGAUAGCCCGGCGAAAGCCGGAUUAAUACCGCAUACGACCUACGGGUGAAAGGGGGGGAUCGCAAGACCUCUCGCUAUUGGAGCGGCCGAUAUCAGAUUAGGUAGUUGGUGGGGUAAAGGCUUACCAAGCCGACGAUCUGUAGCUGGUCUGAGAGGACGACCAGCCACACUGGGACUGAGACACGGCCCAGACUCCUACGGGAGGCAGCAGUGGGGAAUUUUGGACAAUGGGCGCAAGCCUGAUCCAGCCAUGCCGCGUGCGGGAAGAAGGCCUUCGGGUUGUAAACCGCUUUUGUCAGGGAAGAAAUCUUUCGGGUUAAUACCCUGGAGGGAUGACGGUACCUGAAGAAUAAGCACCGGCUAACUACGUGCCAGCAGCCGCGGUAAUACGUAGGGUGCAAGCGUUAAUCGGAAUUACUGGGCGUAAAGCGUGCGCAGGCGGUUGUGUAAGACAGAUGUGAAAUCCCCGGGCUCAACCUGGGAACUGCAUUUGUGACUGCACAGCUGGAGUGCGGCAGAGGGGGAUGGAAUUCCGCGUAGCAGUGAAAUGCGUAGAUAUGCGGAGGAACACCGAUGGCGAAGGCAAUCCCCUGGGCCUGCACUGACGCUCAUGCACGAAAGCGUGGGGAGCAAACAGGAUUAGAUACCCUAGUAGUCC